rnacentral:rRNA from 1 species
GUGGGGAAUAUUGGACAAUGGGCGAAAGCCUGAUCCAGCCAUGCCGCGUGUGUGAAGAAGGUCUUCGGAUUGUAAAGCACUUUAAGUUGGGAGGAAGGGUAGUAACCUAAUACGUUGCUACUUUGACGUUACCGACAGAAUAAGCACCGGCUAACUUCGUGCCAGCAGCCGCGGUAAUACGAAGGGUGCAAGCGUUAAUCGGAAUUACUGCGCGUAAAGCGCGCGUAGGUGGUUCAGUAAGUUGGAAGUGAAAUCCCCGGGCUCAACCUGGGAACUGCUUUCAAAACUGCUGAGCUAGAGUACGGUAGAGGGUAGUGGAAUUUCCUGUGUAGCGGUGAAAUGCGUAGAUAUAGGAAGGAACACCAGUGGCGAAGGCGACUACCUGGACUGAUACUGACACUGAGGUGCGAAAGCGUGGGGAGCAAACAGGAUUAGAUACCCCUGUAGUCC